rnacentral:tRNA from 1 species
ACCUGGCUGGCUCAGUUGAGGAGUGUGUGACUCUUGAUCUCGGGGCUGCAGGUUCGAGCCCUACGUUGGGUG